rnacentral:piRNA from 1 species
UAACUGGUCGAAGCUUGUCGA